GCCAUGCUGCCAGUUUGACUUCUGCCGUCAUCGUGGAAAGUUUGCAAGAUUGUGAUCUACGUAUGUUGUUAUACCUUUCAAAAUGGCAGCUUUUAUCUUCAGAACCUUGAAGUUUGGCACUAUUUCCUCUCUUUCUUAAAUGACCUGAGGGAGUUCCGGCCAGCUGUCACCUGUGCCUGUGUGAGUGUUGCCUCUGUCCACCUGUUUAUGUGUACCUGCUUCACACACUCACACCUGACGCAUUCCCCUGGUAGCUGGAUAGCCUGAAGGAUCUGAAGAAGUCUGGCUACACUCUCACCUGUACCUGUAAGUGUUGCCAUUCCUCACCCGUUGACGUGUACCUGUCUGACACACUCACCUGCUUGGCGCCACAAAGAUCCAGUGCGAUGUUGUACAAUGCGGCGAGAUGCAUACACUGAAAGGGAAAAAAUAGGAUUAGAGGAGAACCGAGUGAGGAAAUGUGAGGGAAUGCCACUCCCCGCCCCAACCCCAUCAGCAGUGGACGCAGUGAUUCACGGAUGCGGUUGUGUCUUUUCGUUAUAAAGUGUGACAAUUCGUGGCCAAUCUUCGUCUUCUUGGUGGGAGACUGCAGGUGUGAGGAGGAGGCAGAGGAGGAAAAGGGGGAGGAGGAGGAAGAAGAUGAGGAGGAAGAGGAGAAAACUAAAGAAGGAAAAGAAAUAGAGGGAACAUUGUGGAAUCGUGUUGAGAAGGAAGUGAAGGAUGCAGGAUUAUUGGAGGAGAGAGAGAGAGAGAGAGAGAGAGAGAGAGAGAGAGAGAGAGAGAGAGAGAGAGAGACAGAGAGAGACAGACAGACAGACAGACAGACAGACAGACAGACAGACAGACAGACAGACAGACAGACAGACAGAGAUACGAUCAGUGAAGGAAGAAAAUCGUGGAUAGGUAGUUUACUGGAUGGCUGAGAUGGGGAGGAAGGACAGGUGGUGAAGGGGCUGUGUGUGGCGGAGGAUGAAGGGAGAUGUAGCCAGGUGAAAAAUUGAGGGAGAGGAAAAGGAGUACAGAGAGUCGAGGAGAGAGAGUAUGAUGUCUGUAGGAAGAGAAUGGGUGAAGGGAAGGACGAGCUGGAAGCGAGACAGACACAGAGAGUUUGGUUACGUUUAGUUUAUUGACGACAGCAGCAUUACAUGGGUAUCAGCGUCAGAAUUUAAAUUAGAACAAUGGUCCAACGAGAUAUACUCCCUUUAAUGAACAGGACGCACUAAAACAGCCAUGUAACAGUCUGAAAGCAAAGAGUAAUGUAAAAGUUGCAUAAUACUAUAUGAUCAAAUUACUGAUCAAAUUACUGAAACGAAAUUGCACCUUAUAAAACACUGUGACAAAAUAAAAACCAUUUCUAAAACGCGAAAUACAAAUAUAAGAAUUACACACACACACACACACACACACACACACACACACACACACACACACACACACACACACACACACACACACACACGAAGAA